rnacentral:tRNA from 1 species
GGCUUCAUGGUCUAGUAGUAUGAUUCUCGCUUUGGGUGCGAGAGGUCCCGGGUUCAAUUCCCGGUGGAGCCC